rnacentral:misc_RNA from 1 species
UCAAACUUGGUCAUUUAGAGGAAGUAAAAGUCGUAACAAGGUUUCCGUAGGUGAACCUGCGGAAGGAUCAUUACUGAUUUGCUUAAUUGCACCACAUGUGUUUUUUACUGAACAAAUUUCUUUGGUGGCGGGAGCAAUCCCACCGCCAGAGGUUAUAACUAAACCAAACUUUUUAUUUACAGUCAAACUUGAUUUAUUAUUACAAUAGUCAAAACUUUCAACAACGGAUCUCUUGGUUCUCGCAUCGAUGAAGAACGCAGC